CAUCUGGCAUGCAAGCCACAAUGCAGUUGCCUGAAACAUGCAACCAAAGAGGACUCUACAAGAAAGAGCCAGAAUCCCAGCUCCCAAACGUGGCAGAGAAUUGAAAACAGUGGAGUGCUUAAAAAAACAUGGGUCUGGAACUACACCCCUAUUCUGCCACUUUCGAUCUCUGGAGUUCACAUGCAGGAAAGAGGGACGAGGGUCAGAACUGAAACUCUGGAGGAAUGUCCCAGCAGCUGACUACGGGUGCAGUCCUGAGAAGUACAUCUCCACUGUUUCAGAUGGUGGAGUGGAACUCAAUGACUGUCAAUGUGACUCUUUGGACACUAAGGGGAGAAUUCAGAAGUUUGAACCCACGACUUGAACCCAGCAGUGCUAUGUCAUCGCUGUGGCUGACUGUGACUGUGAAUACUUCUCCCUGGGGAAAAAGCCUGAAAAGCUAUCAGUGGCCGGUGGGUGGUACCUGGUGGCUGGAUCUGAGUUGUCAAGAUAGAAUGUCACCAUCCGGAGAGACAAGAGGGCUCCAAAAGCCCUGGAACAGUCCUGAUUCUUGUCAGACUGUGGAAAAAGAGCAUAAAUUGGUGAGUGCAUUUGAUAAGGUGAAGUAA
ensembl:lncRNA